AGCGAACGCUGGCAGCAGGCUUAACACAUGCAAGUCGAGCGGGCGUAGCAAUACGUCAGCGGCAGACGGGUGAGUAACGCGUGGGAACGUACCUUUUGGUUCGGAACAACACAGGGAAACUUGUGCUAAUACCGGAUAAGCCCUUACGGGGAAAGAUUUAUCGCCGAAAGAUCGGCCCGCGUCUGAUUAGCUAGUUGGUGAGGUAACGGCUCACCAAGGCGACGAUCAGUAGCUGGUCUGAGAGGAUGAUCAGCCACAUUGGGACUGAGACACGGCCCAAACUCCUACGGGAGGCAGCAGUGGGGAAUAUUGGACAAUGGGCGCAAGCCUGAUCCAGCCAUGCCGCGUGAGUGAUGAAGGCCCUAGGGUUGUAAAGCUCUUUUGUGCGGGAAGACAAUGACGGUACCGCAAGAAUAAGCCCCGGCUAACUUCGUGCCAGCAGCCGCGGUAAU
rnacentral:rRNA from 1 species